rnacentral:rRNA from 2 species
CAGCAGUGAGGAAUAUUGGUCAAUAGCCUAACGGCUGAACCAGCAACUUGGAGGAAUGUAUAGCUAAAGCUAAAUGUAUUAUGUAAUAAUACAGAUUCGAUUUAUUCUUAUAAAAUUCUAGAUAGAAUUAUGAUAAUGACAUUGUCUAUCUACAAGUCUUGGCCAAAUUACGUGCCAGCAGUCGCGGUAAUACGUAGAAGACUAGUGUUAUUCAUAUUUAAUAGGUUUAAAGCGUACCUAGACAGUAAAUCAAGCCUUAAUCGGGACUAAUUUAACUAGAGUUAGAUGUAAGGGUGCAUAAACGUACUGUUGAGUGUAGAGAUGAAAUUCUGUUAUACCAGAUUAUUGGCACGGGUUUAGGCGAAAGCAUCGCCUUAUGUAAUAACUGACGUUGAGGGACGAAGGCUUUGUGUCGCGAACAGGAUUAGAUACCCUAGUAGUCUAAGCAGAAAAUUAUGAGUGUCAUAGGUUAAAUAUUAUUUGGUCUAUAAAUGAAAGUGUAAGCAUUCCACCUCGAGAGUAAUUUGGCAACAUUGGAAUUGAAAUCAUUAGACCGUUUC